UACGGGGGGGGCAAGCGUUGUUCGGAAUUACUGGGCGUAAAGGGCUCGUAGGCGGCCAACUAAGUCGGACGUGAAAUCCCUCGGCUCAACCGGGGAACUGCGUCCGAUACUGGAUGGCUUGAGUUCGGGAGAGGGAUGCGGAAUUCCAGGUGUAGCGGUGAAAUGCGUAGAUAUCUGGAGGAACACCGGUGGCGAAGGCGGGUCUCUGGGCAGUAACUGACGCUGAGGAGCGAAAGCGUGGGGAGCGAACAGG
rnacentral:rRNA from 1 species